UCGCUAAAAAAUUAUUCAUCUGCGCUCUUCGCCGCAACCGGAUGUCGUUCUGGCCAUAUCGCGACCACGAGGAGAGCAACAAUGAUCCCGACUGAGACUUCAAUGAACCGAUGCAGGGCAACGAUCCACGCGGGAUUUGCCCGCGGAAUCAAAACAAUGAUCGUCAGGGUGACACUG
rnacentral:misc_RNA from 1 species